rnacentral:ncRNA from 1 species
AGUAAUGCAUAAGAAUCUAUCCAUCAGAGGGGGACAACUGCGGGAAACCGGAGCUAAUACCCCGUAAGCCGGAAGGUGAAAGGGAGCAAUCCGCUGAUGGAGGAGCUUGUGUCCUAUCAGGUAGUUGGUGAGGUAAGAGCUCACCAAGCCGAAGANNNNNN